AAACGCUCCUAAAUGCUCUCUAAAUGCUUAACUCAACUGCAUUCUCACAGGUUUCGUUGCUUAAAAGGGAGUUAAAAAAAAAAAAAAUGCUAUAUCUACAGUUUGUUUCACUACGGAGGGGAAAGCAUACAUUUCGGUAAUGCGUCACUUCGUGCAUAGAUUAGUUCCCCGGAAGUUGGUCCACUGCCGUACCCGCCGGCGUUCUCAGCAAAAUUGGAUUUUGGAAUCAGGUUAAGAGAAACCCAAACGUUUCGUUGGCGGCGAGAUAUCCAAUAUUCUGGUCCCAAAAUAUCCUAGAAGAGCAUGGACUGUGAAGAACUUGGCCGCCAGGCGGAGCCGGUGCAGAAUAUCUCCGUCUGAGAGCGAGUCUGCGCGCUCAACGGGGGACGUGUGGAGCAUCCAGCCGCCAGACUUCUCUCCCAAACUCUACACGUCCCUCUCAGAUCCCGGGAGGGACAGAAGAUUGUCCCGACGUUCUCAAGCCCGGUCCUCCCUCGACUCAGGCCGUACCCGUGGACGAGAUGUCUCCACGGUUUUGCACGUGAAGCGCGUUGUAGCGGAGGCGUUAGGGGGUGAGACCCACGGCCGGAGGGAGAACAGGAGGUUCAUCACGUCCUACAAACCGCCGGAUCCUCUUGAAGAGGAGCUGAUGUUUGUCAAACUGGGGAAGUUCCCGCCUUCAGGUCCUUACAGGAACCCCCGACCGCACGACUUCCGACCGCAGGACGACGACCUUCCAAACAUGGCCGCUGUGACCAAGAAGGACCCCGGCGACCUGGAGUUUAAACUGAACCACCGCGACAUCUUGAGGACUACCGGGUCCGAGUCCGACCGCACCUCUGGAGACCAGAUGAAGACCGUGCUGAAGAUGAACACCUACAGGGCAGUUGAACCAACAUGGGACCUGCGUCUUCUACUGCCCAGGACACAAUGGCCGCCCAGAUCAGCCUCCUUUACGAGACACCGACGGAGCCGAUCUGUGUACAGCGCCUUCAUGGAGCGAGUGGAGGAGAAGCUGUCGAGGUCCUGGACUCACAACCCGUAGAGACCACCCUGGCUAGCACCACUCUGGGCUUCCGAUGUAUCGACUCUGUAUGUUCUGUGACUGCAUUAACAGGCGUUUCUGUUUAGUUACCUGUGUCUGUAUGAACCCACAAACGGGCGGCAUGUGACUCGGGAGGUAGAGCGGGUCGGCUGGUAACCGGAAGGUUGCCAGUUCGAUUCCCGGCUCCGCCUAGCUGUGUGUCGAGGUGUCCCUGAGCGAGAAACCUCACCUGGACUGCAAUAUUGUAAGGCGCUUUGUGUGGCCACUGGUUAGAAAAGCGCUGUAUGAAUGCAGUUGAUUUGCCAUUAAGAAAUAAAAGGAAGCCAAUUACAGUUGACUGAAAUAAAAAC
rnacentral:lncRNA from 1 species